rnacentral:rRNA from 1 species
UACGAAGGGGCUAGCGUUGCUCGGAAUUACUGGGCGUAAAGCGCACGUAGGCGGUCUUUUAAGUCGGGGUGGAAAUCCUGGAGCUCAACUCCAGAACUGCCUUCGAUACUGGAGAGCUUGAGUCCGGGAGAGGUGAGUGGAACUGCGAGUGUAGAGGUGAAAUUCGUAGAUAUUCGCAAGAACACCAGUGGCGAAGGCGGCUCACUGGCCCGGUACUGACGCUGAGGUGCGAAAGCGUGGGGAGCAAGCAG